GAUGAACGCUGGCGGCGUGCCUAAUACAUGCAAGUCGAGCGAACGGACGAGAAGCUUGCUUCUCUGAUGUUAGCGGCGGACGGGUGAGUAACACGUGGAUAACCUACCUAUAAGACUGGGAUAGCUUCGGGAAACCGGAGCUAAUACCGGAUAAUAUUUUGAACCGCAUGGUUCAAAAGUGAAAGACGGUCUUGCUGUCACUUAUAGAUGGAUCCGCGCUGUAUUAGCUAGUUGGUAAGGUAACGGCUUACCAAGGCAACGAUGCAUAGCCGACCUGAGAGGGUGAUCGGCCACACUGGAACUGAGACACGGUCCAGACUCCUACGGGAGGCAGCAGUAGGGAAUCUUCCGCAAUGGGCGAAAGCCUGACGGAGCAACGCCGCGUGAGUGAUGAAGGUCUUCGGAUCGUAAAACUCUGUUAUUAGGGAAGAACAUAUGUGUAAGUAACUGUGCACAUCUUGACGGUACCUAAUCAGAAAGCCACGGCUAACUACGUG
rnacentral:rRNA from 1 species